rnacentral:rRNA from 1 species
UAAUACGUAGGGGGCUAGCGUUGUCCGGAAUCAUUGGGCGUAAAGCGCGCGUAGGCUGUCAGUUAAGUCUGGUGUGAAAGUCAAAGGCUCAACCUUUGAAUGCCGCUGGAAACUGGCUGACUUGAGUCCGGAAGGGGCGAGUGGAAUUCCUGGUGUAGCGGUGAAAUGCGCAGAUAUCAGGAGGAACACCAAUGGCGAAGGCAGCUCGCUGGAACGGUACUGACGCUGAGGCGCGAAAGCGUGGGGAGCGAACAGGAUUAGAUACCCUGGUAGUCCACGCUGUAAACGAUGGGCACUAGGUGUGGGAGGUGUCGACUCCUCCUGUGCCGAAGCUAACGCAUUAAGUGCCCCGCCUGGGGAGUACGGCCGCAAGGCUA